AUUGAACGCUGGCGGCAUGCCUUACACAUGCAAGUCGAACGGCAGCAUGGAGGAGCUUGCUCCUCUGAUGGCGAGUGGCGAACGGGUGAGUAAAGCAUCGGAACGUACCGUGUAGUGGGGGAUAACGUAGCGAAAGUUACGCUAAUACCGCAUACGCACUGAGGUGGAAAGCAGGGGAUCGGCAAGACCUUGCGCUAUACGAGCGGCCGAUGUCAGAUUAGCUAAGUUGGUAGGGUAAAGGCCUACCAAGGCGACGAUCUGUAGCUGGUCUGAGAGGACGACCAGCCACACUGGGACUGAGACACGGGCCCAGACUCCUACGGGAGGCAGCAGUGGGGAAUUUUGGGACAAUGGACGCAAGUCUGAUCCAGCAAUGCCGCGUGCAGGACGAAGGCCUCGGUGUAAC
rnacentral:rRNA from 1 species